rnacentral:rRNA from 1 species
CCUACGGGUGGCAGCAGUGGGGAAUAUUGGACAAUGGGGGCAACCCUGAUCCAGCCAUGCCGCGUGUGUGAAGAAGGCCCUCGGGUUGUAAAGCACUUUCAGUGAGGAAGAACGCCUGGUGGUUAAUACCCAUCAGGAAAGACAUCACUCACAGAAGAAGCACCGGCUAACUCCGUGCCAGCAGCCGCGGUAAUACGGAGGGUGCGAGCGUUAAUCGGAAUUACUGGGCGUAAAGCGCGCGUAGGUGGCUUGAUAAGCCGGUUGUGAAAGCCCCGGGCUCAACCUGGGAACGGCAUCCGGAACUGUCAAGCUAGAGUGCAGGAGAGGAAGGUAGAAUUCCCGGUGUGGCGGUUAAAUGCGUAGAGAUCGGGAGGAAUACCAGUGGCGAAGGCGGCCUUCUGGACUGACACUGACACUGAGGUGCGAAAGCGUGGGUAGCAAACAGGAUUAGAUACCCCUGUAGUC